rnacentral:miRNA from 14 species
UGUUCCAGUGACACUGAUACAUUUAUGUACCUGUCUCUCAGCAGCAGCAGCAGCAGCAGCAGCAGCAGCAGCAGCAGCAGCAGCAGCAGCAGCAGCAGCAGCAGCAGCAAAGGG